rnacentral:rRNA from 1 species
CGGCGGACGGGUGAGUAACGCGUGGGUAACCUGCCUCAUACAGGGGGAUAACAGUUAGAAAUGGCUGCUAAUACCGCAUAAGACCACAGUACUGCAUGGUACAGUGGUAAAAACUCCGGUGGUAUGAGAUGGACCCGCGUCUGAUUAGGUAGUUGGUGAGGUAACGGCCCACCAAGCCGACGAUCAGUAGCCGACCUGGGAGGGUGACCGGCCACAUUGGGACUGAGACACGGCCCAG